CAUUAAGGAGCUUACACGGGUAAAGCAAUAGCCUUUUAAGCUAUAGGCCGGUGAGUUCCCAACCACCCUUAAUGA
rnacentral:tRNA from 1 species